rnacentral:tRNA from 1 species
CCUUCGAUAGCUCAGUUGGUAGAGCGGUGGACUGUAGAGAAGAUAUAAAACAUGAUAGAAAUCCAUAGGUCGCUGGUUCAAAUCCGGCUCGAAGGA